GUGGGGAAUAUUGGACAAUGGGCGAAAGCCUGAUCCAGCAAUGCCGCGUGAGUGAUGAAGGCCUUAGGGUUGUAAAGCUCUUUUACCAGGGAUGAUAAUGACAGUACCUGGAGAAUAAGCUCCGGCUAACUCCGUGCCAGCAGCCGCGGUAAUACGGAGGGAGCUAGCGUUGUUCGGAAUUACUGGGCGUAAAGCGCGCGUAGGCGGUUUAUCAAGUCAGGGGUGAAAUCCCGGGGCUCAACCCCGGAACUGCCCUUGAAACUGGUUCACUAGAAUCCUGGAGAGGCGAGUGGAAUUCCGAGUGUAGAGGUGAAAUUCGUAGAUAUUCGGAAGAACACCAGUGGCGAAGGCGACUCGCUGGACAGGUAUUGACGCUGAGGUGCGAAAGCGUGGGGAGCAAACAGGAUUAGAAACCCUGGUAGUCC
rnacentral:rRNA from 1 species